rnacentral:rRNA from 1 species
AUACGGAGGGGGCAAGCGUUGUUCGGAAUUACUGGGUGUAAAGAGUACGUAGGCGGAUCGUUAAGUUAGAGGUGAAAUCCCAGGGCUCAACCCUGGAACUGCCUUUAAUACUGGCGAUCUAGAGAUCGCGAGAGGUGAGUGGAAUUUCCAGUGUAGAGGUGAAAUUCGUAGAUAUUGGAAAGAACACCAGUGGCGAAGGCGGCUCACUGGCUCGAUACUGACGCUGAGGUACGAAAGCGUGGGGAGCAAACAGAAUUAGAAACCCUAGUAGUCC